GCCUGGCAAGAUGUUGGCAUAGCUGAAGUAUCCACUAGAAAUCAGCUCUGCUACAUACUGCCGUGCG
rfam:Caenorhabditis brenneri strain PB2801 C_brenneri-6.0.1_Cont105.14, whole genome shotgun sequence.